rnacentral:rRNA from 1 species
AUACAAAAUGACUCUCGGCAACGGAUAUCUCGGCUCUUGCAUCGAUGAAGAACGUAGCGAAAUGCGAUACUUGGUGUGAAUUGCAGAAUCCCGUGAACCAUCGAGUCUUUGAACGCAAGUUGCGCCUGAAGCCAUUAGGCUGAGGGCACGCCUGCCUGGGUGUCACAC